UCCCGCGUCGAGUCGAGGGCAUGAGAGAUCUGCCCGCUAAAGGGAGUCGUCAGUGCUUCCCACCUAGUCCCGAAGACCUUUCACAUAUUGUUUCAACAUUCACUAAAAGCCUUCUGCUUGCCAGCACUUGGUAGGCUCCAGGGACACAGCCUAGAGCCAGAUAGCCAGACGCCUGGCACGCACAUUACAACCUCAGUGUGGUUCCGGCUGUCGUGGAGAGCAAGAGGACCCACUUUAGGGGGUGACAUUCAGGCUGACUCCGAGGCCUGGACAGGAUCCGACUACAGGAAAAUCUUGAGGAAAGCCAUCUGAACACAGAGGACAGCAAGAGCAAAGGGCUGGAGUUCAGUGCUGCUGGAAACAGUUUCUGGAAACAGGAGCACCGAUCCCUGCUGGGUACAGAAGCCAUCCACGCUCUAGGCCAGGAGGUGCCUUCAUUCAAGCCUGUCCAGCUCUACCACUAGAGGUUACCAUGGCAACCAAACCCACAGGCAGCAGGUAACUGGAAAACAGCUGCCAACAGUAAGUGAUGGUGGGGAAAAAGGCAAAAACAGAGACCCUCAAAAGCAAGAGAAAUAUAGAGACUGUAGCAGAGAAGAGGAGGCCCCAGAGCACUGACAGGUGCUCAGCUCCAAGCGCCAGUCCUAGGAGUCACUACCCAGCAGGCAGUCAAAUCUUACACAGACUGCCACACCACCAACCACGGGCAGACAUGAACACAACGGGGCCAAUUCUCAGAGAUGUUUACAACUAUGGAUCACAGUAACACAGGUGGGGCACAUGUUUAGCCCAAGAGCAGUGGGUCUGGUGAAAAUGAACAUGGGUAGAGUACCCCAACUACUAUUUCCAAUAAAACAGUGGAUUUCAUGUAC